UAAGUACGACAGCCCGAGAAGGCCUUAGCAAAAGCGUACUGCGUUCCUCAGUCCCCAAAGAUGAAUCCGUGGAAAGCUAUAACACAACCGAAGUUGCUACCUUCAAACCACGAUUUUCCACCCCCGAAAACUGAUGCUGGCCUGCAAAUCGAAGAAUACACCUUGCGGCUGAACUCCGAAUAGCAAGUCUGACUUCAAGCGUUUCCCUUCCAACAAUUUCACGUACUGUUAACUCUCUUUCCAAAGUGCUUUUCAUCUUUCCCUCACGGUACUUGUUCGCUAUCGGUCUUGCUCCAAUAUUUAGCUUUAGAUGGAAUUUACCACCCAAUUUGAGCUGCAUUCCCAAACAACUCGACUCUUCGAAAGUAUAUCACAAAGCACCGGGCAUCUGCAUCAGUUACGGGGUUCUCACCACUAUGACGCUGUAUUCCAACAGACUUGUAUGCAGUCCGGCGCGGAAAAUACUUCUCGAGAUUACAACUCGGACACUGAAAGUGCCAGAUUACAAAUUUGAGCUCUUCCCGCUUCACUCGCCGUUACUAGGGGAAUCCUUGUUAGUUUCUUUUCCUCCGCUAAUGAAAUAUCAA
rnacentral:rRNA from 1 species